rnacentral:rRNA from 1 species
GACGAACGCUGGCGGUGUGCUUAACACAUGCAAGUCGAACGGAAAGGCCCUGCUUUUGUGGGGUGCUCGAGUGGCGAACGGGUGAGUAACACGUGAGUAACCUGCCCUUGACUUUGGGAUAACUUCAGGAAACUGGGGCUAAUACCGGAUAGGAGCUCCUGCUGCAUGGUGGGGGUUGGAAAGUUUCGGCGGUUGGGGAUGGACUCGCGGCUUAUCAGCUUGUUGGUGGGGUAGUGGCUUACCAAGGCUUCGACGGGUAGCCGGCCUGAGAGGGUGACCGGCCACAUUGGGACUGAGAUACGGCCCAGACUCCUACGGGAGGCAGCAGUGGGGAAUAUUGCACAAUGGGCGGAAGCCUGAUGCAGCAACGCCGCGUGCGGGAUGACGGCCUUCGGGUUGUAAACCGCUUUCGCCUGUGACGAAGCGUGAGUGACGGUAAUGGGUAAAGAAGCACCGGCUAACUACGUG